rnacentral:rRNA from 1 species
UAGCGACAAUAGCACUGUGGAACCACCUGAGCCCAUGCCGAACUCAGAAGUGAAACGCAGAUUGCGCCGAUGGUAGUGUGGGAGUUCCCAUGUGAGAGUAGGUCAUCGCUA